rnacentral:rRNA from 1 species
UACUGGAACCGGAGCUAAUACCGGAUAAUAUAUUGAACCGCAUGGUUCAAUAGUGAAAGACGGUUUUGCUGUCACUUAUAGAUGGAUCCGCGCCGCAUUAGCUAGUUGGUAAGGUAACGGCUUACCAAGGCAACGAUGCGUAGCCGACCUGAGAGGGUGAUCGGCCACACUGGAACUGAGACACGGUCCAGACUCCUACGGGAGGCAGCAGCU